AGUGAACGCUGGCGGUAGGCCUAACACAUGCAAGUCGAACGGCAGCACAGUAAGAGCUUGCUCUUACGGGUGGCGAGUGGCGGACGGGUGAGGAAUACAUCGGAAUCUACUUUUUCGUGGGGGAUAACGUAGGGAAACUUACGCUAAUACCGCAUACGACCUACGGGUGAAAGCAGGGGAUCUUCGGACCUUGCGCGAUUGAAUGAGCCGAUGUCGGAUUAGCUAGUUGGCGGGGUAAAGGCCCACCAAGGCGACGAUCCGUAGCUGGUCUGAGAGGAUGAUCCCCCAAACUGGAACUGAGACACGGUCCAGACUCCUAGGGGGGGCCGCAGUGGGGAAUAUUGGACAAGGGGCGCAAGCCUGACCCAGCCAUACCGCGGGGGGGAAGAAGGCCUUCGGUUUGUAAAGCCCUUUUUUUGGGAAAAAAAAGCAGCAGGUUAAUACCCCGCUGUUCUGACGGUACCCAAAGAAUAAGCACCGGCUAACUUCGU
rnacentral:rRNA from 1 species